AAGGCUUUAAGUUAACGAAACUAACAGCCUUCAAAGUUGUAAAUAUAAGACCUUCUUUUAAGCCUUA
rnacentral:tRNA from 1 species